AACGAACGCUGGCGGCAUGCCUAACACAUGCAAGUCGAACGAGACCUUCGGGUCUAGUGGCGCACGGGUGCGUAACGCGUGGGAACCUGCCCUUAGGUUCGGAAUAACUCCCCGAAAGGGGUGCUAAUACCGGAUAAUCUCUUCGGACCAAAGAUUUAUCGCCUUUGGAUGGGCCCGCGUUGGAUUAGCUAGUUGGUAGGGUAAAAGCCUACCAAGGCGACGAUCCAUAGCUGGUCUGAGAGGAUGAUCAGCCACACUGGGACUGAGACACGGCCCAGACUCCUACGGGAGGCAGCAGUGGGGAAUAUUGGACAAUGGGCGAAAGCCUGAUCCAGCAAUGCCGCGUGAGUGAUGAAGGCCUUAGGGUUGUAAAGCUCUUUUACCCGGGAUGAUAAUGACAGUACCGGGAGAAUAAGCGCCGGCUAACUCCGUG
rnacentral:rRNA from 1 species